AGCUGGUAACCAUAAUUCUCAGCAAACUGACACAAGAACAGAAAACCAAAUGCCACAUGUUCUCAUUCAUAAGUGGGUGUUGCACAAGGAGAACACAUGGACACAGGGAGAAACAUCACACCUUGGGGUCUGUUGGUGGGGGUGAAGGGGAAAGAGAGCA